AACAACUGAGGGAAACUUCAGCUAAUACCGUAUGUGCCCUUCGGGGGGAAAGAUUUAUCGCCAUUGGAGCGGCCCGCGUUAGAUUAGCUAGUUGGUGGGGUAAAGGCCUACCAAGGCAACGAUCUAUAGCUGGUCUGAGAGGAUGAUCAGCCCACACUGGGACUGAGACACGGCCCAGACUCCUACGGGAGGCACGCAGUAGGGGAAUCUUGCCGCAAUGGGCGAAAGCCUGACGCAGCCAUGCCGCGUGAAUGAUGAAGGUCUUAGGAUUGUAAAAUUCUUUCACCGGGGACGAUAAUGACGGUACCCGGAGAAGAAGCUCCGGCUAACUUCGUG
rnacentral:rRNA from 1 species